GCGGACGUGGUGCACGGUGCACCGCUACCUUUAAUUCGGAUAGUAAGGUGCAAAGUGUAAGCAGCUCCCGGGUUCGACUCCCUGCGUCCGCA